UAGAUGUUGGAACAUUGCUGCUAUAACAGCCUCCAGUCUUCUGGGAAGGCUUUCCACUAGAUGUUGGAACAUUGCUGCUAUAACAGCCUCCAGUCUUCUGGGAAGGCUUUCCACUAGAUGUUGGAACAUUGCUGCUAUAACAGCCUCCAGUCUUCUGGGAAGGCUUUCCACUAGAUGUUGGAACAUUGCUGCGAAGAAUAGCUUCUAUUCAGUCACAGGUAUUAGUCAUGUCGGGCACUGAUAUUGGGUGAUUAGGCCUGGCUCGCAAUCUGCAUUCCAGUUCAUCCCAAAGGUGAUGGAGUUGAGGUCAGGGCGCUGUGCAAGCCAGUCAAGUUCUUCCACACCGAUCUCGGCAAGCUAUUUCUGUAUGGACCUCCCUUUGUGGACAGCUGAGGGCUUUCCUCAAACGGUUGCCACAAAGUUGGAAGCACAGAAUCGUCUAGAAUGAACUGUAACUUAGUAAAAUCUUUGAAAUUGUUGCAUGUUGCAUUCAUAUUUUUGUUCAGUAUAUUUUACUUGUUUUUAUAUCCUCUUUUUGACCCCAGGAAGAGUAGCCUCUGUUUUGACCCCAGGAAGAGUAGCCUCUGUUUUGACCUCAGGAAGAGUAGCCUCUGUUUUGACCCCAGGAAGAGUAGCCUCUGUUUUGACAGCGGCUAAUUAGGGAUCCCAACAAAAUAGUAAAAUAGUAGGUCUUACUGAAUCAACGCUGGUAAAAAAAAAAUCUCCAACUUGUUUUUCAAAGGACAUGCACAAUCGUCGUAUCUCACUGGAUCUCCUCCUGGAGCUGUCAGAACGGCAGCACCUUCGUCAGUUCUUCUUCAUCACCCCCCUAUCUACCAGCAAUUUGCCAAAAAGUGACCACAUCAAGAUACACCAGCUGCAGGAUCCAGAGAGGACAGGAGGACAUACAGGAGAUGAAGACCUGGGGUAGAUGAUAGAUGUCAGUGCUGGGGUCAAUUUGGUUAGUAAACCAAAUUCCAAUUUGUACUUCCUGAAUUGAAAUGGAGUUGACCCCAACCCUGAUAGAUGGUGGAUUAGGCCAUCGUCAUGCCGAACAAGCCAUUUGAACAGUGUGGGAUUUUUAAACACAUUCUAUACAUUUUUGCUAGGAGUGAAUACGUAAGACUCUCUGGGAGACUUAAGACUCUGCUUUAUUGUUGUGCGCCAUGCAGACGGAUGGAUUAUGAAGAAUUCCCCUUAUGACACAGUAUGUAGGCCUGUAUACUUUCAUAGUGGCUGUGUGGAUACAUCUUUGUUGUAUUGUCAACACCGUUACUUUCACAUAUCUCUAUGCAUAUUUCACAUUUUCUACAUAUUAAAGCUGCAAUAUGUAUCUUUUUGAGUGUGACCCAACCAAAUUUGCUUAGAAAUGUGUGUUAUAGUUCUCGUUGAAAGCAAGUCUAAGAAGUGGCAGAUCUGUUCUAUGUGCGCUAUGUCUAUGCUUCCCGUUCUUAAGUUUUGUCUCUCUUACUUUCGGUUUUGUACACCAGCUUUAAAUAGCUGAAAAUACAAUUUCUUUUUAAUGGAAAAUAUAUUUCACAGCUGUUUAGAUGGUACAAUGAUUCUCUACACUAUACUUGCUUGUUUUGUCACAUAAACUGAAAUUAGUCGACUAUUCAAAUUUUAGCAACCAGGAAAUGGAGAGCGAUUUUUGCAUAGUGCAUCUUUCAUUGCUUGUAAUUUAAAUUCUGUAAAUGUGGUUUUGGCUGAUUUGUUGAUUGACUUUUUUCAGCUUACUGUAUGUGUACACUAGAUGUAGAUAUCUUUUGACUUUGAUUACAGUUAGUAAGACACUGUAUAAUUUUGAUACAUUGGGAAUUAUGUUUUGUUUCAUUCCUUGUUCAUAAACAAUUUGUCCGACCCUGCUAUUGAUUUAACUGUAAUAUGUUUAGGUUACUGUAUUUGGUUUUUAAAAUAUUUGAAUGCUGAUGAUGUGCUUUAAACUACUGUAAACUGAAAGAUGUUUUAUGCAUCCAAUUUUUCUAACCUAAUUUAUAUGUUAAUUCUUGUUACAUUGUUACAAUAAAAUGGAUUAACAAA